AUUGAACGCUGGCGGCAGGCCUAACACAUGCAAGUCGAGCGGUUGACGGGAGCUUGCUCCCUGAUUCAGCGGCGGACGGGUGAGUAAUGCCUAGGCAUCUGCCUAUUAGUGGGGGACAACGUUUCGAAAGGAACGCUAAUACCGCAUACGUCCUACGGGAGAAAGCAGGGGACCUUCGGGCCUUGCGCUAAUAGAUGAGCCUAGGUCGGAUUAGCUAGUUGGUGAGGUAAUGGCUCACCAAGGCGACGAUCCGUAACUGGUCUGAGAGGAUGAUCAGUCACACUGGAACUGAGACACGGUCCAGACUCCUACGGGAGGCAGCAGUGGGGAAUAUUGGACAAUGGGCGAAAGCCUGAUCCAGCCAUGCCGCGUGUGUGAAGAAGGUCUUCGGAUUGUAAAGCGCUUUAAGUUGGGUGGAAGGGUUGUAGAUUAAUACUCUGCAAUUUUGACGUUACCGGCAGAAUAAGCACCGGCUAACUCUGUGCCAGCCGCCGCCGUAAGAC
rnacentral:rRNA from 1 species